CUCAUGGAGGUUGAGGCUUGCCCGGCUAAACUGAUGGACAUAGCCGUGCCAGCCAAUCUCCGCUGUGGGAUCCAAGAUGGCGCCGCCCCCCCACGGGAUGACUCCGCCCACACAGCACCAAGCCCCGCCCACACGCACUGAUUGGUCACGCCCACCCCGGAAGCCCCGCCCACAUGGGAGUGCUGGUCCCACCCACUUGGUGACGGGGAGCUCUGAUUGGUGGAAAUGAACUAAUUAGCAUAGGGGCGUGGCCUGCUGUGAGGCCCCGCCCACAUGGGAGUGCUGGUCCCGCCCACUUUGUGAUGGGGAGCUCUGAUUGGUUGGAAUAAAUAAUUAAUUAGCAUAGGGGAGUGGCCUGGUGAGGUCCCGCCCACUUCAUGAUGGGGAGCUCUGAUUGGUGGAAAUAAAGAACAAAUUAACAUA